GACGAACGCUGGCGGCGUGCUUAACACAUGCAAGUCGAACGGAAAGGCCCUGCUUUUGUGGGGUGCUCGAGUGGCGAACGGGUGAGUAACACGUGAGUAACCUGCCCUUGACUUUGGGAUAACUUCAGGAAACUGGGGCUAAUACCGGAUAUGAGCUCCUGCUGCAUGGUGGGGGUUGGAAAGUUUCGGCGGUUGGGGAUGGACUCGCGGCUUCUCAGCUUGUUUGUGGGGUAGUGGCUUACCAAGGCUUUGACGGGUAGCCGGCCUGAGAGGGUGACCGGCGACAUUGGGACUGAGAUACGGCCCAGACUCCUACGGGAGGCAGCAGUGGGGAAUAUUGCACAAUGGGCGGAAGCCUGAUGCAGCAACGCCGCGUGCGGGAUGACGGCCUUCGAGUUGUAAACCGCUUUCGCCUGUGACGAAGCGUGAGUGACGGUAAUGGGUAAAGAAGCACCGGCUAACUACGUG
rnacentral:rRNA from 1 species